UACGUAGGGUGCAAGUGUUAAUCGGAAUUACUGGGCGUAAAGCGUGCGCAGGCGGUUUUGUAAGACUGUCGUGAAAUCCCCGGGCUCAACCUGGGAAUGGCGAUGGUGACUGCAAGGCUAGAGUUUGGCAGAGGGGGGUAGAAUUCCACGUGUAGCAGUGAAAUGCGUAGAGAUGUGGAGGAAUACCGAUGGCGAAGGCAGCCCCCUGGGAUAACACUGACGCUCAUGCACGAAAGCGUGGGGAGCAAACAGG
rnacentral:rRNA from 1 species